GAGCUGCCAGCCGGACACACGCCCCACGCCCGCACUUCUCAGCCCUUCCGCGGUCCAUGGGUCCGGCCGUCGUGGAGCAGGGGGCGGCGCCCGUCGGGGAGGCUCCAGCCGCGCGGGAGCCAACGAUCUCCUCCGGGAGUGGUGGGCAGCUACUGUGAAAGGCCUGGUUCAAAAACCUCACAGCGGUUGUUUUCAGAGUUGUCCCUCCUGUGUACUCUCAAAGCCCCAGAAUGAAGCAAAGCAUCCUCCCUUUUCAAACUGGCACUCUUCCCCAACCUUGAGGACCACUAGGCACUUUGUUUUUAAAGCCACAGUUACUUUUAUGGAGAAGUAUUGUUAUGAAAAAAGGGAGGCAUCUGAGGAGUGGAAACAGAGAAAUGAGUGACUGAGAUCAGUGUCUUAUUUUGACCAUCUUUUCCAAGUGCUGCAUCCUCCCAAACACAACAUGAACUCAACACUUAAUAAAGCUGCAGUCCUACGUGUUUUAUUUGUGUAAGAAACUAAGUCCAAAACAUUCUGCAACGCGAGUAAAAAUUCACUUCUGCAAUAUAUUAAACACACAUGAACACAG
rnacentral:lncRNA from 10 species